rnacentral:rRNA from 1 species
UACGGAGGGUGCGAGCGUUGUCCGGAAUCACUGGGCGUAAAGAGCGCGUAGGCGGCCCGGUAAGUCCGCUGUAAAAGUCCAGGGCUCAACCCUGGAAAGCCGGUGGAUACUGUCGGGCUAGAGUCCGGAAGAGGCGAGUGGAAUUCCACGUGUAGCAGUGAAAUGCGUAGAGAUGUGGAGGAAUACCGAUGGCGAAGGCAGCCCCCUGGGAUAACACUGACGCUCAUGCACGAAAGCGUGGGGAGCAAACAGG